AACGCGAAGAACCUUACCUGGGCUCGAAAUGUUAUGGACCGGAGUAGAAAUAUUCCUUUCCCGCAAGGGACCGUAAUAUAGGUGCUGCAUGGCUGUCGUCAGCUCGUGUCGUGAGAUGUUGGGUUAAGUCCCGCAACGAGCGCAACCCUUAUCCCUAGUUGCCAUCGGGUCAAGCCGGGCACUCUAGUGAAACCGCCCGGGAUAACCGGGAGGAAGGUGGGGAUGACGUCAAGUCCUCAUGGCCUUUAUGUCCAGGGCUACACACGUGCUACAAUGGUCGGUACAAACCGUCGCAAACCCGCGAGGGGGAGCUAAUCGGAAAAAGCCGGCCUCAGUUCGGAUUGGAGUCUGCAACCCGACUCCAUGAAGCUGGAAUCGCUAGUAAUCGCGGAUCAGAACGCCGCGGUGAAUACGUUCCCGGGCCUUGUACACACCGACUGUAC
rnacentral:rRNA from 1 species